UACGUAGGGUGCAAGCGUUGUCCGGAAUUAUUGGGCGUAAAGAGCUCGUAGGCGGUCUGUUGCGUCGGCUGUGAAAACCCGGGGCUCAACCCCGGGCCUGCAGCCGAUACGGGCAGACUAGAGUUCGGCAGGGGAGACUGGAAUUCCUGGUGUAGCGGUGAAAUGCGCAGAUAUCAGGAGGAACACCGGUGGCGAAGGCGGUUCUCUGGGCAUGACCUGACGCUGAGGAGCGAAAGCAUGGGGAGCGAACAGG
rnacentral:rRNA from 1 species